AGUGUGGGUAUAUAUAUAUAGAAAACGUUGACUGCAAUGGGCCUUUAAUCUAACCAUGAUUGCGUUCUGACCCCAGUGCAGCUCAAUGUAAACAAGCGCAACGUUAGAAUCUUCUGGCUAACAGUAAGGUUAGCUGUAUUGUUCGCAACUUAUGUCACAUUUACUUUGUACUGACAAGUUGUCUACAAGAGUUAGCUAACGUGGUCAGAACGAACAUAUUGGAGGAAACUAGCCAGCUAAAUUUAGAAAAUGUAGCAAGCCAACUAACGUUCGCAAGCUAGCUUAGCUGGCUAAAUAGCUAGCUAGCUUCUAUGACGCCUUAAACGUGACCUUUCCUUUUAUCAACCACCAAACGCAGUUUAUUUUGUGGAGUAAAGUUACAUUUUGGUUGUCAGUGUGUGAUGAGGAUAAGUUGACUCAUAAUGAGUUCCUCGGGGAGUCUCGCGUUCCCCUGAAGCGUAUCAAGCCAGACCAGACCAAACACUUCCACACCUGUCUGGAACACUCACCCCCACUACCCUCUCCAACCACCACAGGGACAGUCGAGGAAUCUCCUGCUACUUAAGAGAGAUAUCUGAAGCCCAACACACGGAAGAAAUCCAAACGCAAGACGUCUGUGAUUAAAAAGACCCGUAACCCUGAAUUCAAUGAGGAGUUAUUUUAUGAGAUCUCCAUGUCAGAGCUGUCCAAUAAGACUCUGGAGGUCACUGUCUGGGACUACGACUUGGGACGAUCCAAUGACUUCAUAAGUGGAGUGUGCCUGAGCUGUCACUCACAGGGAGACCCCCUCCGCCAUUGGAUGGACUGCCUUAAGAACAAGGGUCAGAGUGUGGAGCGCUGGCACAUACUGACCAAUGAGCUCCCAAGAUCCGUAAGUCAUGAAUAAGGCCACACAUCUACUGUGACACAAGGCGGAGUCCCAAUUCUUCAUCCUUCUCCCAAAGUUGCACACUUCCAGUCAUGGAUAUAUCAACGGUGGAAACUCCUUCAAGGCAAGUGUGGAGAAUUUGACACAGAUCAAAUCAUCCCUCUAGCUCCCUACCACCUAGGAAUUCCUAUAGAUCUGAGAGGAUUGGAUAGACCAAAAAUAUGGGGGAAAUUCCACCUAGCUUAUCAUAACGCAAAGGGGAAGCCAUGACCAUAUUGAUCUGGAUCCUAUUGAAACCUUUCAGAUCUACUGUAGUGCCUAAGUGGUAGGGGUUAUGGGUCGAUUUGGAACUCAGCGAAGUUGAAGCAUUUCUAAGCGCUCUCUAGAGCCCUGUUGAUACCUGGUUGUAACAUGCGUCCAUCUUCCUGAUAUUUUCCUUAUCUUAUCUGUCUAGACCUAUUCCACAUUCAGAUAGCAAUGCGUCUUUUAAUCGUCUACACCCGUCUAAAAAUGUGGGCACAAUCCAAAUGUGGACAGGAUCAGGACAAAGGACACAUGUUAGCAGCAGGUAUAAAUGGGGAUGACUUGCCACAGGAUGGGAUGCACUACCCGUAUGUUUCUAUGUCUAUAAAGGUGAUUCAAACCUACACACCAUGGAAAUGAUACAUGCUGAAUAAAAGUCAUACACAAUACAAGGCCUGGAUGUUAUGAAGCACAACUAUUUUAUGCUCUGGAAUAGACUAGUGGUGUAGAUGAUCCCUCCAAGUUAGAUUAGAGUUUCUUUGAUUAUUUGAAUCGGUUGAGUCGGGGUCAACUGGGGGUCCCGAGGACCGAUUUUGUGAAACGCUGAGUUAGAUGGAGAUGUUGGUCAGUGGGAUGGGGAAUGCGGUUUAUGUUGCCUUACGGCCUCUUGUCACUAAUGUUGCCAUUCACAACUCAACAUCAUACUUCCAAUUUUUUAUGAUUUCAUCUACACGUUUUAGUCCACGGGCUUUUUUACUUCUCUUGUUCAGCUGAUUUGAUUGAAUUCCAUAUAUUUCAUGGUGAUUUUAAUAACAAAUUGAUAUCUAUGUUGGUAAUAAUAUGCCUAUUCUACACAAAUACCGGCACACAAAUAUCUAACAUCAGAUAUCCUGUUUGUAUUGUUGACAUUUUAACCCAAAUGGAACCCUAUUCCCUACAUUAUGCACUACUUUUGACCAAAGCCCUAUGGGCCUUGGUCAAAAGUAGUGCACUACAUAGGGAAUAAGGGGCAAUUUGGGACAAAUACAUUCACUGCAUCCCAAACAUGACAUACACUGAUAAUAUUAUGAAUACAUAAAUUCUUCCAUGUGUUUGCAUGAUGCAACACAGAAUUUACUAAAAAAAAAUGGUCCCCUCCCUUAUAUUACUAUACCCUGCCUCAAAAAAGUAUUUGAUAAAAAAAUGAUUAUUACUUUAUUAUUGAGGUGUUUUCCCUGUAUUGUUAUUUUAUGUAAUGCUUCUUAUAUCUGUCUCUUAAUGCACAACUGAAUGUGUGAAUGUCAGUUUUUACUGACCUUUCAAUGGCUGUAUUCGAUUAUCUUGUUCUGCUUUUAACAAUUGUUGUUCUUACAUUUAUAUCAGGUGUUUUGUGUACAAUAUGAAAAUACAUUUGGAAUGCACUACUGUAUAAGUCUGACUUGGUUUCUAUUUUGUGAAAUGGCUUGGCUGAGGGAAAUCCAGUACUCACUCAGUACUAUUGAACAGUAAAAUAGCUCACUCCUACCCCCUGGUGGUUCAAUUUCACAUUUGAGUAAUUUAGCAAACCCUCUGACCAUGUUCAACGGUCCUUGCUAUCCUGCAUCCUUCAGA